CCACCGGCAGCUCUAGUGGUAGCAGUUUUUAUUGGGCCUAAAGCGUCCGUAGCCGGUUUAAUAAGUCUCUGGUGAAAUCCUGUAGCUUAACUGUGGGAAUUGCUGGAGAUACUAUUAGACUUGAGACCGGGAGAGGUUAGAGGUACUCCCAGGGUAGAGGUGAAAUUCUGUAAUCCUGGGAGGACCGCCUGUUGCGAAGGCGUCUAACUGGAACGGUUCUGACGGUGAGGGACGAAAGUUAGGGGCGCGAACCGGAUUAGAUACCCGGGUAGUCCUAACUGUAAACGAUGCGGACUUGGUGUUGGGGUGGCUUUGAGCUGCUCCAGUGCCGAAGGGAAGCUGUUAAGUCCGCCGCCUGGGAAGUACGGUCGCAAGACUGAAACUCAAAUGAAUUGACGGGG
rnacentral:rRNA from 1 species